rnacentral:rRNA from 1 species
UACGUAGGGUCCGAGCGUUGCUCGGAAUUACUGGGCGUAAAGCGCACGUAGGCGGUCUUUUAAGUCGGUGGUGAAAUCCUGGAGCUCAACUCCAGAACUGCCUUCGAUACUGGAAGACUUGAGUCCGGGAGAGGUGAGUGGAACUGCGAGUGUAGAGGUGAAAUUCGUAGAUAUUCGCAAGAACACCAGUGGCGAAGGCGGCUCACUGGCCCGGUACUGACGCUGAGGUGCGAAAGCGUGGGGAGCAAACAGG